GUUCCGGUGGUUAUAGCGAGGAGGAAACGCCCGGUCCCAUUCCGAACCCGGAAGCUAAGCUCCUCAGCGCCGAUGGUACUGCACUGGUGAUGGUGUGGGAGAGUAGGACGCCGCCGGACU
rnacentral:rRNA from 1 species